rnacentral:rRNA from 1 species
UGGGGAAUUUUGCACAAUGGGGGAAACCCUGAUGCAGCGACGCCGCGUGAUUUAGAAGGCCUUCGGGUUGUAAAAAUCUUUUCUAUGGGAAGAAAAUGACAGUACCAUAGGAAUAAGGAUUGGAUGUUUACGUGCCAGCAGCCGCGGUAAUACGUAAGGUCCGAGCGUUGUCCGGAAUCAUUGGGCGUAAAGGGUACGUAGGCGGGUAGGCAAGUUAGAAGUGAAAUCCUGUAGCUCAACUACAGUAAGCUAUUAAAACUGCUCAUAUUGAGGUAUGGGAGGGAAGAUGGAAUUCCUAGUCUAGCGGUUGAAUGGGGAGAUAUUAGGAGGAAUACCGGUGGCGAAGGCGACUUGCUGGCCAUAAUCUGACGCUGAGGUACGAAAGCGUGGGUAGCAAACAGG